GUCAGUGUGAUAUAGUGGUUUGAGCGUUGGACUACAACACUGAAGACCAGGGUUCAAAUCCCAACUCAGCCA